UGUUAACUGAAAACCUUCUUUGUUAUUAUUGUAUCUGUUCUUGAAGAAACAGGAAUAAAAUUAAAUUCUUUUUUCAGCUCUGUUGUCUGCUGGUUGGAAUAAGUGAUUUAAAUUGGUUUCCUGCUAUGGGAGACCUAAACAGGAGCUAAUUUCACUUAUACGUUUGUGGUUCUUUAACUUUAACCUGGAUGGGUGUGUACAACACUCAGCAGGAAUAUCUUGUUUUUACCAGCAGGCAGAGGUGUUUGUAAAAUGACAUUUUCAGGUCUGAUUAGAAAUUAAGAGUUUUAGAAGUAAGAAAACAACAGUUAAGAAUAAACUGCAGGUAAUACUAAUGUGGUCAUUUGAGAAGUACGUUUCUUCACAGAAUGUUGCUCUUCCUGUUCACAGCAGGCUGACAGACUAGAUAAAGAGAAUAAUAACGCUUUUGUCUAUGCUUAUGUCCAGUACCGAAGACAGUGAAUCUGAACAGAAAGAGAAAAUGAUGUGCCACUAGUCCCUAGGAGAGACACCAUUAGGGAUACAAGCUGUCAGGAAAUUGUCUCUUUUCCAAUAGGAAACUUACACUUAUUCCUCUCUAUCUGGACUCUGCGUAGUGUUUCUUCAGGAAUCACAGCUACUGAAUCUUUUACAUUCUUUAAUUCCUAAAGCAGUGGACUCUUUUCUUUCUCUCUCUCUCUCUUUCUCUUCACACCUCAGUUUUAUUCCUGUUACAAAACUAAAAGUGUCCCCAAGACAGCCUACUGUUUGAGAUUACAGCUUCUGAGCUAGUGAGAAUAUGUGUUAAUAAGCUGGAAGGAUAUAGGAAAGAAAGCAGCAAUGCCGAGGAAAACAUGAGGACUGUGAUCCGCCUCUUGAAACAGGUGCAAAAUAAUGGACUAAAUGAAUAGUAGCAAAAUAAAAAGAAAUAAUUCAUUAGACUGAAUUCUUUUGUGAGCUACGUUGAUGUAAGGAUAAGGAAGAUUCAUAGACUUAAACUGGUAGGUAAAUGGUGAGUUUAUAUUUGUGGAAAUUAAAUUGCUCAAUUUAGCCCCACGACUCUGCUUAGAAGAGAUGAAUGUUCUUAUUAUAUGCUAUCCUUGAACUUUGUAAUGAAAGAAGAAAGAAAAAAAAAACAAAACAAAAAGGAAAGACAAAGAUGAAUAGCAUGCAAGAAAAAAAAGGGGAGGUUUUAAAAAAUAGAGAAAAUACAAAGAAAACAGAUUUUCAAGAUCCUCACCUUUUGUACUUAAGCCACAAGCUUAGCUUUCUCCUACAUUUGAAUUGCCUAGGUUUCCAGGAAGUCUUCCUUGAUAGCCAAAAAUAUCAUAUUAAUACGUUGAUACAUUUACCCUUAGUAAGAUUCUCUCUCUCUAGCACACAAAGGAACCGAUCCUAAAUCAUACAUUGAUGCUGAUUUCUUUAUUUUAUAGAUACUUCUAUUUGUGGGUUAUUUUUAUGCUGAAAACCAUCUGAAAAAUGCUACCUCCAUGUUGCAUAUCUGGCAAGUGAGGUUUUCUGUCAUUUGUCUGUACCAACAGAGUUCAUCAUAAAGCUACCAUUAGUGUUAGAAUGGCUUUCUUAUUUCAACUCAAGAAGCCACUUGGGAAGCUGCCAAGCAGAUGGAAACAAAAUGAAAGUAGGUUUUUUAAUGGAUACUAACUGAACUAGGUGAGGAAAAUUGCUCUAAUAUCCCUAACAAAGCAAUUCUGGAGCCUGAGGUGACUAUAAGAGAAAUGCAGUGGAGAAAGGCACCAAGCUUGUGUGGUCACCCUAAAUAGUAUCUCCUUUUGCCAGUGCGGAAGCUAGGAACUGGAGAAACUGCAUAAAUCAUCAACAUGAUCCGUUAGGGGAUUUCUUAUGUCCUUAAGGCGUCAGCGUCCUCAAACUACAGCCAGUUGAGCUGAGAACAAGGUUGAGAAAAGAUAUCAAGGAAGAAAAAUAACAUAGAACUGAGAAGCAAUGAUCCAUGGUUUUGCUUGAAAAUGCUUUGAGUGCAAUCUUCACAGAAGCUAGCAGCACAACUCCCACUGUCAAGGUUAAAAUGUCUUCCAUAUUUGGAGGCAGGAAGGAAUUUUCUUCCAUGUCAGACUGACAGAAAUUGUUAGAAAUUUGUUAUUUGUCUCUGUGGCAUAUGGUGUGGUCUACUUUUCUGGGUGGGUAUUUUUAUCUAAUAAAGUGCAUGAGCAGUAGACAAUGAAAAUAUUCUUGAGCUCUUUCUUUCUUGCUAUUUAAUGGAGAUUUCCUGGUUUCACACAGUGGUAUGAGU